CUGUCUGUAGGGAGAGAUUUAAACAGUAAUUAAGAAAUCUGCAUAUAUUAGCAUGGUCCCUGCGCAAGGAUAGCAUGCAAAUUUGUAAAGCGUUCCAUAUUAAA
rnacentral:snRNA from 1 species